rnacentral:rRNA from 1 species
ACGGGGGGUGCAAGCGUUAAUCGGAAUCACUGGGCGUAAAGGGUGCGUAGGCGGUGCAUUAGGUCUGUCGUGAAAUCCCCGGGCUCAACCUGGGAAUGGCGGUGGAAACCGGUGUACUAGAGUAUGGGAGAGGGUGGUGGAAUUCCAGGUGUAGCGGUGAAAUGCGUAGAGAUCUGGAGGAACAUCAGUGGCGAAGGCGGCCACCUGGCCCAAUACUGACGCUGAGGCACGAAAGCGUGGGGAGCAAACAG